GUGGGGAAUAUUGGACAAUGGGGGGAACCCUGAUCCAGCCAUGCCGCGUGUGUGAAGAAGGCCUUUUGGUUGUAAAGCACUUUAAGCGAGGAGGAGGCUACCGAGAUUAAUACUCUUGGAUAGUGGACGUUACUCGCAGAAUAAGCACCGGCUAACUCUGUGCCAGCAGCCGCGGUAAUACAGAGGGUGCAAGCGUUAAUCGGAUUUACUGGGCGUAAAGCGCGCGUAGGUGGUUAAUUAAGUCAAAUGUGAAAUCCCCGAGCUUAACUUGGGAAUUGCAUUCGAUACUGGUUGGCUAGAGUAUGGGAGAGGAUGGUAGAAUUCCAGGUGUAGCGGUGAAAUGCGUAGAGAUCUGGAGGAAUACCGAUGGCGAAGGCAGCCAUCUGGCCUAAUACUGACACUGAGGUGCGAAAGCAUGGGGAGCAAACAGGAUUAGAUACCCCUGUAGUCC
rnacentral:rRNA from 1 species